rnacentral:rRNA from 1 species
AUACGUAGGUGGCAAGCGUUGUCCGGAUUUACUGGGUGUAAAGGGCGAGUAGGCGGGACUGCAAGUCAGGUGUGAAAUGCGGAGGCUCAACCUCCGACUUGCAUUUGAAACUGUGGUUCUUGAGUGAUGGAGAGGCAGGCGGAAUUCCCGGUGUAGCGGUGGAAUGCGUAGAUAUCGGGAGGAACACCAGUGGCGAAGGCGGCUUACUGGUCCAUUACUGACGCUGAGGUGCGAAAGCGUGGGGAGC